rnacentral:rRNA from 1 species
UACGUAGGGGGCAAGCGUUAUCCGGAUUUACUGGGUGUAAAGGGGGCGCAGACGGCAGCGCAAGCCAGGAGUGAAAGCCCGGGGCCCAACCCCGGGACUGCUCUUGGAACUGCGCGGCUGGAGUGCAGGAGGGGCAGGCGGAAUUCCUGGUGUAGCGGUGAAAUGCGUAGAUAUCAGGAGGAACACCGGUGGCGAAGGCGGCCUGCUGGACUGCGACUGACGUUGAGGCCCGAAAGCGUGGGGAGCGAACAGG